CUCCGCUUGGCUCUGCCAUGCGGAGGGAGAUGAACGGGGUCACUAAGAGCCGCUUUGAGAGAGAGGAUGGGAAGGAUAUCAAGGGAAAAUACUGGUUAAUGGUAAGCUGAAGCAUGUCUGGUUCCACAGAGAUCAGCAUUGAAUCCCACAGGAAACCGGCCCUGGAGUUGAGAAAGAUGUUCUCAAACAAUGAUGAAGCUGUGAUCAACAAAAAACUUCCAAAAGAGCUGCUGCUUCGAAUUUUCUCUUUCCUGGAUUUGGUCACUCUGUGUCGUUGUGCUCAAGUUUCCAGGGCAUGGAAUAUUCUGGCCCUGGAUGGCAGUAACUGGCAGCGAAUUGACCUGUUUGAUUUCCAGAGGGAUAUUGAGGGCCGAGUAGUUGAGAACAUUUCUAAAAGAUGUGGGGGUUUCUUGCGGAAGCUGAGCCUGCGUGGCUGCCAGGGAGUGGGAGACAAUGCAUUAAGGACAUUUGCACAGAACUGCAGAAAUAUUGAAGUCUUGAACUUGAAUGGCUGUACCAAGAUCACAGAUGCUACGUGUACCAGCCUCAGCAAGUUCUGCUCUAAACUCAGGCACCUCGAUUUGGCUUCUUGCACCUCCAUAACAAACCUGUCUCUGAAAGCACUGAGUGAGGGAUGUCCACAGCUGGAACAGCUGAAUAUCUCCUGGUGUGACCAAGUGACUAAGGAUGGCAUCCAGGCCCUGGUGAGAGGCUGUGGUGGACUGAAAGCCCUGUUCCUGAAAGGCUGCACGCAGCUUGAGGAUGAAGCUCUGAAACACAUUGGUGCCCAUUGUCCUGAACUGGUGACUUUAAACCUUCAAACGUGCUUACAAAUAACAGAUGAUGGUCUCAUUACAAUAUGCAGAGGAUGCCACAAGUUACAAUCCUUGUGUGCUUCAGGCUGCUCUAACAUUACAGAUGCCAUCCUGAAUGCCCUGGGACAGAACUGCCCAAGGCUUCGAAUAUUAGAAGUUGCAAGGUGUUCUCAACUAACAGAUGUGGGCUUUAGCACUCUAGCUAGGAACUGCCACGAGCUUGAAAAAAUGGACCUGGAAGAGUGUGUGCAGAUAACAGACAGUACACUAAUCCAGCUUUCCAUACACUGUCCACAGCUUCAGGUUCUGAGUUUGUCCCACUGUGAGCUGAUCACGGAUGAUGGGAUUCACCACUUGGGAAAUGCCACCUGCGCCCAUGAUCGUUUGGAGGUGAUUGAGCUGGACAAUUGCCCCUUGAUCACUGAUGCCUCCCUGGAGCACCUGAAGAGCUGCCACAGCUUGGAAAGGAUAGAACUGUAUGACUGUCAGCAAAUCACACGGGCAGGGAUCAAGAGACUCAGGGGUGGGCUUGUCUCCCGUCGUCUUCAGGAAAUGGUGACCCCGACGCGAUACACGAAGGACGUGAUAUACCGACUGGGCGCCAUGGCGGAGCGACGAAGGGGUUCGGGUCCUAUGCAGCAAGGACGGCAAUAAGCGUGAAAAUUGGGAACACCCCAUGCCCUGGGUGACCGUAUAGACGAGCCCGGCCGAUACGUGCCGCCGGACCUUGAAGGGCUGCAACAGCGCGCUGACAAAUAGAUUGAUGUGUUUCUUGGAGUGCUUGCCGUGAUGCAGAUCAAGAUGGAGUCACUCAACUAUUGGCAAGAUUGAACAGUGAAGUGGAACACGACCAGCACCUGAUCAUAUCUUCCUGCAAUUGGCUCAGCUAGCAUAUGUGCUGGGCAGACACGUUAUGUAUCAGCCCGUGCCACAGGAUACUGGAGUCAUCGAGCAUAGGGAACGGGAGAUGUGGUAGGGGUCCAGAAGAUCUCGGGUUGUAACGUGAGAGGUGAAAGGUACAGAAGAGGUGGGCACGGGGUGGAGUGAGAGGAGGUGCUGGUGGUGGCAGGUGUGAGCACAUGGUGUAAACAAGGGGUUGAAGUUUGGCAGAUGGACGUCACUCAUGUGGCAGAGUUUGGAAGACUGAAAUAUGUGCAUGUAACCAUAGACACAUGGAGCAAAUUCGUUUGGGCAACAGCACAGACAGGGGAGAGGGCCAUACAUGUGGAGCGUCAUUUAUAUAGUUGUUUUGCAACAAUGGGAAUUCCUCAGAAAAUAAAGGCAAACAAGGGUCUAGCCUAUAUAAGUAAAAGCAUAGAACAGUUUAUGAGGCAAUGGGGAGUUAAACAUGUAGCAGGGAUUCCCCACUCCCCCACAGGACAGGCCAUAAUAGAAAGAGCUAAUGGGACUCUAAAAAGAUAUCUUGGUAAAUAUGGGGAUGUUAAAGACCCACAUAUGAAAUUGUUAAAGGCCUUAUUUGUUAUGAACCACCUGUGUGUGUUUGGGGAACAGAAGCUACCACCUGCAAUAAUACAUCAUAAUCCAAAGGCACAAAAGGAGAGAAAGAAAGAAAUACGGGUUAAAUAUUGUGACCCUAAAACAGGGAUAUAGCAGCCUCUGGCCAAAGUAUUAUACUGGGGACGUGGGUAUUUGUGUGUUGAUUCUCCCACAGGAUCCAUUUGGGUGCCAGCCACGUGGACAAGAGCUGUCCUUGAAGCUGUGGAGAUGAAAUCAUCUGACAAAAAAGGACAGGAAGAGAUUGAAGAAUAAAUACACCCUCGUCUUGCAGUCAUUGGAAGACUGGCUAACAAUCAAAAGACUGAAGGUUAUAUAACAAAAAUAUAGUGAUUUUUAAUGAAUAAUAAUGAGGUGUUUUGUUAUAACCAUAGCUUUAGUGUAACUAUCAUUGCUAACAGCUUGAUGCAUUUUAAUCAGCCUAGAGAUAAUAUUUGGAUAACCUUUGCUAAUCAAACUGGUCAAUCAUCUCUUUUUCUUAGUUUGGGAGGGGUUACUAAUCCUUUUAAAACAUGUUUGAUAAGACUGCCCGUGUGGAAUUUGGAGGAACUUUGUGGACUAGUAGACAAUAACACCUUGUGUAAUAGGACGGGGUUGAACACAAUUAGCGAUGAUCACGAUCAUCAACGAAAGGUCAAUGUGAGAUAAUUAAGUCUUUUAAUACCACAUUAGCCUCACCCCCUGAGGAAAUAGACCUGUUUGGAAGUGCCAAUGCAAGCUUCGGUACUAAUGGAACUAGGGAAAAAAUUGGGUAAGUUUUAUGUCACGGGAUAUCCACGACUUUAAUAGAAAUCGAAAAUAUUGGGCCACCUUAGACUCUUCUUUGAAGUCAGAAACGGUAUUUAAGCAAUUGUAUUCCAGCUGUUAUGGCUCUAGUAUUACAUCACCUAAGAAAUUGCCCACGGGUAUAUUUUUAAUCUGUGGAGAAGGGGCCUGGAACGGAAUACCAGUAAAUUCCCUGGGUGGACCCUGUUAUUUGGGGAAACUCUCUUUAUUCCACCCUAACUUAACCGCGCUGAUGCAGCUUGCUGACCAUAAUAACAGCUCUUGCAAAAAACGUAGUUAUUAUGAGUUUGAUUGUACUGAUAUUGGUCCCCCACGAUUUUGGAGUGAACUGAAGCAAGUCAUAGUUGCCACCCUUUUUGCCAGGAGUAGCAGCCAAUAAGGCCAUGAAUUUGGCUAAACAGUUAGGAUGUUGGAUUAAGGAUGAGGUAAAUUAAACUUCAGAAAUGAUUGGUAUGUUAACAGCUGAUGUUCGAAGUGUAAAUCAUGCGGUGUUACAAAAUAGAGCUGCCAUAGACUUUUAUUAUUAGCCCAAGGACAUGGAUGUGAAGAGUUUGAAGGCACGUGUUGUAUGAACCUGUCGGACCAUUCACCUCGAUACAUGCCAAACUGAAAGAACU